CUCGCCUUUUUAAAGCUUAAUAGUGGAUAAUAGGGGGCAGUAUCAAGGGAUAAUUUGGGUCCCCACAGUACCAAAGCAUUUAGAAACCUCUGUUUAAUUUAAGGAAUGAGAUAAAUUACUGCUUUUCUAGACUUCCUAGCAUGGGCUGUUGUGCUGGAGAGAACGAGAGCUACGAAGAGACUACAAUGCCUCUGACUUUUUCAUAGGACAGUUGGCCGAGGAAGACAAACAUAAAGAUGAAGUGCUUAAUUCAAGGUCACACAAUGUCGGGGAUGGACCUCCAGAUUUCCUUACUGACCUGCAUUAUCUUGUGGAUACCUGAGUGAAUUCCACACCACCCAUUUUAUAGAUGAAACCACUGAGACAUGGAGCAACUGACUGAGUAGUCACUGCCCCACCCCUGCCUGGAGCCUCACACAUGACUCGUCUCCUCUCAGUGACCACAGUACUUAUCCUGUAUUACAUGAAGGAAAUGAAAUAAAAAGACUGCAACCCCACUCCCAGCUACUCAGUGAGGUGGUAGCUAGGUGAGACGUGGUCUUGUAACACAGUGGUUAAGAAUGUGACUUUGGAGCCAGCCUGCUAGGGGCUGAAUUCUGACUCAGCCAUUUACUAACUGUGUG
rnacentral:antisense_RNA from 1 species